UCUUUAAUUGCGUAGGGGAACCAAGCUAGUUCUUACCGCGGUGCUACAACAAGCAUAACAUCUAACACCGGGUAAAAACUAGCUCGGGUCCCCCUUGCAACA
rnacentral:pre_miRNA from 13 species